UACAGAGGUCCCAAGCGUUGUUCGGAUUCACUGGGCGUAAAGGGUGCGUAGGUGGCCAGGUAAGUCUGAUGUGAAAUCUCGAAGCCUAACUUCGAAACUGCAUCGGAUACUAUCUGGCUGGAGGUCUGGAGGGGGGACUGGAAUUCUCGGUGUAGCAGUGAAAUGCGUAGAUAUCGAGAGGAACGCCAAUGGCGAAGGCUAGUCCCUGGACAGAUCCUGACACUGAGGCACGAAAGCUAGGGGAGCAAACAGG
rnacentral:rRNA from 1 species